rnacentral:rRNA from 1 species
CCCUUAGAUGUCCUGGGCCGCACGCGUGCUACACUGAUACGUACAACAAGUAUCUUCUUGCUGCUCCGAAAUAGAUAAUCAACUUGGCUAAAUCUCCAAUACGUAUCGUGCUGCGGAUAGAUCGUUGAUAAAUAAUUAUGAAUCUUGAAGGAGGAAUUCCUAGUAAGCGCAGGUCAUCAGCCUGCGUUGAUUACGUCCCUGCCCUUUGUACACACCGCCCGUCGCUCCUACCGAUUGAAUGAUCCGGUGAGGCCCCCGGAUUGUGGCCGCGGCUCUGGUUCGCUAGACUGCGGCUGCGAGAAGCUGUCCAAACCUUAUCAUUUAGAGGAAGGAGAAGUCGUNACA